CUCCUUCCCUCACCUUCAUUCAAUUUCAGUCUCUGCUUCAAAAAAAAAAAAAUUAUGACUCUCACUUCUGCUAUUGUCAAAACACCACCACUAUGAGUACACCAAUUAAACAAAAACCAUUUUCUCUAAAAAAUUUCCGUGAAAACCAUUUUUCUUCAAUCUUUCUCUUGUAAACCUACCAACAUUAAACCUUCGAGAGAAAUCUUUCUCCUGAUUAUGUUGUUCUUCAAUCCAUCCUUGAAAACCCACCACUGUUUUCUCUUCAAUAUUCUCGUGCUUGAUUUUAUACAGGAAAAGUUAGGGUUUGCAAUUGUUUUGGAGGAUUCGUUAUGAAUAUCAUGUUGUUUGCAGUUUCUAAUUUUUUUAGGAAAUGACUCCAGGUGUUUACUAUUGCUGGUAAAUAACGAGAAGAGAAGGUAUAGUGUGUGAAUUGCUUAUAAAUGGAUGAACUUUGUUCAAAUAUGGAUGGACAGUUAUAUUUUUUGGCUGGGGGCUAUUUUCCCAAAGGGUUCACUACCAUUUAUUGUUGUUUAUAUUGGUUGUGCUUGCCAUUUGCUUUUAUUUGGUUCUUAUAUUAUGUACACCAUUCUCUAUGUGUGUAGUUUGUGAUCUGCAAGAAGGUAAUAUGACCCCAUUUAAAAACUCUUGCUUUUCACCCCUCCGUGUAUUGUUGGACUUGCAAUCUUGUUUAUUUCAAUUUUAAAGGUUAUGAAGAAUUAUCUGCCUCUAAUGUUGCUUUGAGGUUCAUGAAUGACGAUAUAGUGGUAACUCAUUUCGCAUGUAUAUAUAACCUAUGUUAAUUUGAUUCAAUCCAAGGAUGUGAUUUGGAUAUGGGUUUGUACAACUUCAAAUUUGCAGCCACAAGUCAAUGAGGGACCCGUGGUCUGCAGUGCUUACGAUAGGAGAUACGUGAUUAGAUAAGUGUUUUAAAAAUUAAUCUGAUGUAUCAUAAUUUGAUUUUACAUGAUGAGUUAUUACUUAAUUUAUAUUGGUAACAGGGAGUAUAUCUACCUCUUGGGGAUUUCAAGCUGGUAUGAGAUGCAAGCAGAAGCGAAACAUAAAAAGCGAGCUCAAUUUCUUAAGGAAGAAACAGGGUGAUAUCAAUACGGCGGAUGCAAAGAAAAGCUCAGAGAUGUUUGCUGCCAAAGGUAUCAAAGAAAGAGUGCUCAUGGAGGCUGAAAAAAACAAAGCAAGAGUGGUAAAGGAGGUUGAAGGUAUGUUUUUACAGAGAAUAUUUACCUGCCUUCUUUUUUUCUUGGGGUACAAUUAGUGGUAUUGGUUAUCGCUUGCGCCAAAAUCAAAUCAAAUCUCUCACGGGUAAUCACAGAAAUGUUAAGAAAAUUGUAUAUUUAUUUAGUAAAUAUAUUUACAGUACACUAGCGAUGACAAUUAUCAAAGUGCAGGUAACCUGGAACUGGAGACAACCAAAGGAACCAUGAAUAUCAUGCAUGCAGUUUACCUGUAUAGAGACGAAGUAACAGUUUUAGCAGUCAGCUUACCUUGUGGUUGUAUAUAAUUAGAAGUUUCUGUUGUGAAUCUUGUGAUCCUUUCUAAGUUAUCAGUAUAAUUGGAUAAGAAUCAAGCUUUUUAUACCUUGAUAAUCACUGCUCCAUUUGAUACCUUGUGUGUUCUUUUGUUCUGCAUAUGAAAGUGGGAGAUGCUCCAAGUUCUGCUAUGAGGAAGCAGUGAUGGAUUGCUUAUAUGCAAAAUGCAUUGCUUGCAUCAUGGCAGAGCUGGAGAAGUUAUGCCAGAACUGAAGAAUCGAGUUGCUUUGAGUUGUGCAAAGCAUCCUUGAUUUGAGAGACUGCCAUGUACUCACUAAGGAGCUGAUGAUUCAAUGGUUAAUAGAGUUACCCAGGAGAGCGUCAAUCCUGGAGUAGAAGUCAGUACCUCCGAUGUAUGGGUGAAAGCUCAUACACAAGAGGGUGGGGGAAUUUUACCUAGUGCAGAACCAUACUUUAAGAAGCAAAAACUGAUCAAAGAGUUGCAAGAUGCGGGUACUCCCGCAGCAAACAUAGAUGCAUUGAUUGAAGCAUUUGGAAAGGAUUCUAGGGGACGGGUUCGUGCUGUUGGCCCAGUUUCUCGUACGCAAGUUGAUAGUUCUGCCCCUGCGCGCGCUAAAGUGUAUGAUCUAAAGUCUAAAGAUGUAGUUUUGAAGCAUGAAGUGGAUGAACCAGGUGGUAAGGUAGAGGUUCUGAUCGGCCUGAGUUUAGAAACUGAACUUCAUUGGGUAUAUUGAUUGUAUGUUAUUGGACAGAAUAAACUGUUCAAAUGGAAGACUUUGUUGUUUAGUGCACAUUCAAUGUGUCUCUCAGUAGUAUUUGUUUGGCUUGGAUUUGACCUGAAAAUGUUAUAGGGAACUCUUGACUAAGUCAAC